rnacentral:rRNA from 1 species
AAUGAAACCUGAUAUGACUUAGUGGCGGACGGGUGAGUAACACGUGAGCAACCUGCCUUUCAGAGGGGGAUAAUCCGAAGAAAUUUGGUCUAAUACCCCAUAAUAUUCCGACAGGCAUCUGUCGGAGUUGAAAGCUUCGGUGGUUGGAGAUGGGCAUGCGUUGUAUUAGCUAGAUGGUGAGGUAACGGCUCACCAUGGCGAUGAUACAUAGGGGGACUGAGAGGUUGAACGGCCACAUUGGGACUGAGAUACGGCCCAGACUCC